UUAUGAGGAUAAAACCAAUUUGGAAGAGAUUGACCUAGAUAACCAUAGAGGGUCAGACACUUGAGACUGGUAGGAGGAAUUAGGACUUGAAGAACCUCGAUGUCAUUAUGGUCUUGCGAUCUCACAGAAGACCAUUUCAAGUUCAGUCUGUCAAGAUUUUUCUUGUUCUUUAUCGCACUUUCUGCUGCAAUAUCCUUGCUUGUUGCACCAAGAUUAUUUAUCGUCACUCCUCCACAAAUUUGGUUCACGUUCUUCAUCAAUGUGACAUAACUCCGAGGGAAGGCUUUUGAAAGGACAAGCUCCGGAGAUUUCCAGGAGAACAGAGAUACACUGAAUAGCCAUGUUAGGUGAGCUCAUGCCAUCAUAUUAAUUGAUGUGCCUUUUAAUCAUGUUCUUCAUAUAUUUGCCUUUACAAGCAGCGCAGCAGGUGUUCACUUUUCAGACUGGACUGCAGGGGUAAUGGGUUCAAUGCCGCAACUUGCUGACUCAAACUUAUGAGUGAGUAGAAGGUGCAGAAAUCAAAUGCUUUUAAUGUUGUAUGUGCAGACGGUCUGAAGCUCCACGUUCCCCUCCCUUCUUCUAAACUUGCGCGUCUCCCUCCUCUCUGGUGCGGCGAAGGAGGUGGCGCAGGGGUCGAUCCGGUGGCCUCGAUGAAGGCAUCGGAGCUGGAAGGGCGCGCUGGAGAGGGAGGGACGGUGCCAAAGAAAAAAGCACCGGGGCCGGAGGGGCCAUGCCGGAGGGCCGCGGCAUAAAGAGGAAACAUCAAUAUGAAUAUGAAUAUGAGAAAUUCUAAAAUUAUUUACAUUGUGAAACGGAGGGAAUAUUACUGUAAGGUGAUGGUUCUUUUUAAAAGGAUUUUUUUUAAGGUACCAAAUUUAAGUGGAUGGAUCUAACGCACCAGAAUUAAACACACGAUACUAUGCGUGACAGUAAAUUUGGUGGAUGGGUAUAAUAAUUGGAAAAAAUACAGGAUCUUCGUCUCAACUGAAUUUCUGUUUCUACCUCCCAUUUUUCCCGGACAGCAUGUGCAUGCAUGUCGACGAGGAUAUUUUCCCCGAUUUCUUGUUUUAUUAGUUGAUAUAUUUUAUGAAAGUGAUUUAUCUGUUUGUUAUUUAAUUGCUGCUUAUUCGGUUGAAAGAUAAUUAUCCAAAUUACAACACGCAUGCAUGCAUGUUUCUUCUUUCUUCCUUCUUCGGCCAUGCUACCCAAGCAUGCGCAGGCAGCCACUGCCCUGUUAAUUUCUUUUUCCUCCUCCUUUGGUGGAACACAAGAUUUGCAUAAUCAUGCCAAGUGUAAAUCAAUCGAUUAUCCUAAACAGGUAAACAACACAGUUGCAUUCAUAUUCGUUCUUUCAUACUCAGAAGCAAAAUCUGGCUCCACGGCCCACGGGUAGAGAUGUUAUCGAUGCUUGCGAUCGCUAUAGCAGCGAGCCUGUCGACGACGCUGGCUGAUCAAGUCGUCAGUAAUGACAUGCAGCGAGGACAAUGACGAGAGAUACUCAUUGUAUGAUUGGUUUAGAAAAGUCAAAUGCCACAUUACUGAUCUGAUUUAACGAAAAGUCUAAAGUACCCAUAUAAAUCAAUGGUCCGAUGGUCCGAUUUAAUGAUACUCUAAAAGAUACCGUAAAAGCCACAUUACUACGGCCCUCUUUGUUUAGGCUUAGGUUUAUUGGCCUAGACUUUUAAGUCAGCUUAUUGGCUUAUAUGAUUUAUAAGCCGGUGGAUUUAAUGUCCUAAGUUUAGUAGUUGAGUCAUAUAUCUACCUCACAUAAACCAAAAAAGCUUCUCCAACCUAGCUUUUGGCUUAAUAGUGUUAGAGUGGCUUAUGGCUUCAAAAAAGCCAAACGGAAAAGCUGCUUGUUUGUUUAGGCUUAGACUUUUCGACUUAUAAGUUGGCUUAUAAGCCUAAACAAAGAGGGCCUACAUUUGGCAGUAAAAGACACCGUAAAAGCAUCCUUUUAAAAGAUCGGCACCAAUAGUAUUUUAUGUUUCCUUUUAAAAGACCGGCACCUUUUAAAAGAUACCAUAAAAGCGCCCUUUUAAAAGAUCGCUAAUUAUGUCUACAAAGGCUUAGAGGGAUAGAGCUAAAGAAUGUUUUGAGGUCGAGUCAGGGGACCACUCGGGCUUGUUCUCGGGAACGACAAGUACGGGGUCAAGUUUGUCUUUCUGAAGAUAGAGCCACCUUGACCUCCACGAGCUCUGAGAUGAGGAGCAUUGGAAGGGGAUAUAUUCCGCCUUCAUACCAUCUCGGAGACGGAACCCGCAGCAUUUGGAGAUCCUGUUGGACUCCAUCAUAUCCAUCGGAGCUUGUAAAAAUAGCGGAAGAGAUCAAGGAACGGCACUACACCGACGUAGGCCUCACAAAGAUGAGCAAAUAUGCUCAAAAAAGCAAUAGAGUUAGGGUUCAAGUGAAGGUGGAGGCCGUAGAAAUUUACAAUCAAGAGGAGAAAUUUAGAAGGAGGAGGUAGGAAACCGCAUCGAAUAAAAUCCUCUAACACCACAACUUGCCCUCGGGCGGGUUUGGGUUUCUGUACCUCCUUCCGAUCGCUCUAGAUCCUGGUGGCCAGGCAGUGACUCUUUCAUUCGCAGCUUCAUCCCGGAGGUGUCGAUGGAUGAGGCUCCAAGAUCCAUUGAUACGACGGAGAUGGCCAGAGAAGAAUUGGGGAAGUUAGGGUUUUCUGGGAGCCGGAGGAACCAAGGUUUUGUGCGCAAGGGAGGCGAAAGGUGUUGAGUUGUGAUCCAAAUUCAUUUGCACUUAAUAAAGGCCAGCUUCUGCCGUAGUGGAGCGGAGGCCCGUUGCUGGGAGGCUUGGGCCGGAGCGUCAUCCCUUUUAGGGUUCCACCAUAUAUAUACCUCUUGUAAGCCGCCGUGCGGCGUUGUAACCUCACCUCAGAUAUAGUGAAGAUAUUUUGCUGGCUGGCACCCGUGGUUUUUUCUCUCCUGCUUUGGGAGAGUUUUCCACGUUAAAUCUCGUGUCUUCUGUGAUUGAUCUAUUGUUCUUCAUCAUUUGUUUGCUUAUCGUUUCCUAACAAGUGGUAUUAGAGCUUGUUUUCCACAUUAGGGUUUCGCGAUGGCGUCGAUGAAGUAUGAUCUACCGCUGCUAGACUACAAGACGAGAUUCUUGCUGUGGCAAGUCAAGAUGCGGGCUGUUCUGGCGCAAACUUCGGAUCUUGAUGAGGCGCUGGAAAGCUUCGGGAAGAAGAAAUCGACUAAAUGGACCGCUGAGGAGAAGCGGAAAGAUCGUAAGGCUCUGUUGCUGAUCCAACCUCAUCUAUCUAAUGAUAUUUUGCAAGAAGUGUUGCAGGAAAAGACUACUGCAGAACUUUGGCUCAAACUGGAAUCGAUCUGCAUGUCUAAAUAUCUAGCCAGUAAGAUGCAUAUCAAGAUGAAGUUGUUCUCGCACAAGUUGCAGGAGAGUGGUUCUGUGUUGAACCACAUAUCGGUCUUCAAGGAGAUCGUUGCUGACCUAGUGUCGAUGGAGGUACAAUUUGAUGAUGAAGAUUUAGGUCUUUUACUGUUAUGCUAACUGCCUAGUUUAUAUGCAAAUUUUCGUGACACCAUACUUUUAAGCCGUGAUGAACUAACCUUAGCAGAAGCUUAUGAGGCGCUCCAAAACAGGGAGAAGAUGAAAGGUAUGGUUCAGUCUGAUGCGUCGUCCUCUAAGGGCGAAGCAUUGCAGGUCUGAGGCAGAUCUGAGCAGAGAGCCUACAACGACAGCAAUGAUCGUGACAAGAGCCAAAGUAGAGGUCGUUCUAAGUCCAGAGGUAAAAAGUUCGGUAAGUAUUGCAAAAAGAAAAUUCACUUCAUUGAAGAAUGUUGGAAGCUGUAGAAUAAGGAGAAAAGGAAAUCUGAUGGUAAGGCCUCUG